ensembl:lncRNA
CCCGGUCAGCCAUGGGAGCACAGGUGAAGGCAAUUCAGCUGAGUGACCAGAAGGGGUGGAGCCUGGCUGCACCUCUCUUAGACCCCAUUUAAGGGCUCACUGCCAUGGGGGAAGGGUCUUUUUCUGGAGGUCCUUCCUUGGUGAAGCUUUCCCCUGCAAAGCUAGACUCGUCUGAUGUGGCGUGCUUCGUUUGGCGUACUUGGUGAGGAGUAAUGGAGCUGGAGCACGAGAGAUGUGGCAAUCACUGGCAAGUGCUGUAGCUGGACGAGGCCCUUGGCUCUCCCUGCUGCUGCUUCUGGAGGUAUUCUACUUCCUGAAAUAGAAGAUGCUUUCCAGGAAAAGUACCCUUACUUGAAAGUUUGCCGUUUUUACUGUGCCAGAAAAACCCAGUGUUAGAGACAAGGCAGCUGCACCAAGGCUUUCUGUAUCCUCAACUGUGUCUUCAGGCUGGGGAAGUGAAAGUGUUUUGGGAGCAGGUAGCUGCCCAACUGCCUGCUGUUGGUGGGAACUGAAGUCCCAACCACUGCCAGUGGCACUGCUGACUGUGACAGCCCGCUCUGUCCCCCAGGCCAGCAGCCUCUGCCUUUCUGAUGAGCAUUGAAUUUGGUUGGGGACAGCACACACAUUCUUUCCUACACAGAUGCAAAUGUGGGGAAAAAGGUAUCUUUCACUUGUACUGUUUAAGUGAAUGGCGUAACUGAGGUAUAAAAGCAGUUUUUCAGUAGAGAAUCGAAGUGCUUUUUUGAUUCGAUUCCAGCAGCAAACUGUCGGAGCAUGUGCUUAUCUAUGCUAUAGAUCUGACUGGUUUAGAAAUAAAAGAGAGAGCUGAAGCAUAGUAGCUGGUUCUCCAGUGAUGAUUUAAGGCCUUUCUUCCCUUUGUGAUUUUCUUCUGUUUGUGGUUUGUAGGGGAAAAAAACCAAACCCAACACAGC